UGGCUGUUUGCUGGUUGCCACAUGCUCCUUGCACUGAGGUGUUUGCCGGCUACUGAUGGAGGCUAGGCACUCUGGGUGGUUCCCUGAACUGUUUAUUGUGCUUGUGAAUUGGGCAGGCUGGACACGACCUCUAACCAUCCGGGGUGGGUGGGUGAAGAGGGCAGCGGCUGAGGUGGAAAGCAGCAGCUUCCACCUGUUUAAGCUGUGGUAAUGCUGGCUGCCAGAUGUCAUAAUGCCAACAAUAUAUUCUUGACGGGGGGGCUCAAAACUGCUUUGAUUGUGGAAACUGAAAUGACAAUUUUCAAAUUACUUUUUAAAACUAAUUGAGGACACUUUUUAGGUGCUUGCUACUAGCUCCAAUAGACUGAAUUACAAAGAUUUUGUCAAGUAAGUUUCUCAUUAAACUCCAAAACAGGUGUACUAGAGCCUCACAGAUAUACGUUUACAGAAAAUGUAAUACUGUAGGCGCAAAAAGUAUUUUCACUUUGAAUAAGUAAGUUGCAAUUUCACAAGUGUAUAAUUUUAUGCACCAGUUGGCAUGGUGAUAAUCAAACCAAUUAAUCUGGAAGUGCACCUGCUGAGCUGUACAACAUGUUGUUUGAUUCUGUUGUGAGACUGAGACAAGGACAGGGGCAGGAUAUUUAUUAUCCAUGGGGAUCCAAUCUGUCAAGAUUAGAAAGCGUUUGGUGAUUUCAUUAAUGAGUUUUGUUGCAUUGAGUGAUCACAGUCAGAGGUUCUCCACAGUCAACAAUGGUGGAAAAUGUAAUUACUCUGAAAGUAAUUAUUCAUUCCAGCUCUGCUUGAAGGAUGACUUUGAAAAGAUGCUGGGUGGCUGAUGAUCACUGAUGCCCUUGCCCAAAUUUUGGUCAGAGGUGUCACCUGAUACUAGAGGGGAUCUGCCCACCAACAUCGCUUAUCAGCAACUGUUUUACAUUAGACACAGCUUUGUUAGUUAUGUUUUGUGGCUUGCAUAAUAUUUUUACAAGGCAGCCCCCAACUGUUCUAUGGUAUGAUCUUUUUAAUUUAGACUUGGGAACCUGCAUAUCAAUACCAGCAGCAAUACAACCAAAGCAAAACAACAUAAAACAUUUCUACUGCACUCAGUGGAAUGCUGAAACAAUAACUCAUCAUAUCUUGUCUCCCAUCAUGCAUUGCAUUGAACUGAAUUACUGUUUUGUUAAGCUUGUUGUCUAAGGCAGUUUUUAUUUGGGUUGUUAUUUCUAUCAUUGCUACAUGUCAGAAAACAUACUCUGAACAUGUCAGGUUGUAGUGUAAUGCAAAGAAAUGGUACCCUGAUGCUCAGUUUGCAUUGCUUAAUACCAACAACCAGACCAGAUUGAUUAUAUUGUCUCCAAGAUAUAGAAAGGAAUUGCUUUUUCAAUGUCCAGAAUUUGUUCAACCUUUUGUCAUAAAAUAUGUGGUUCUUUCACACAUGGAGUACUGUCCACUUAUCUGGUCAAGUUCUGUGGAAAAAUAUUUAAAAGAAACUUCAAAUUGUACAAAAUAGAGCUGCCACAUUGGCCCUUCAUUGUUCCUUUCACACUAAUGUGCGGGAGAUGCAUAACAAGUUAUCUUGGCUAACUGUGGAGGCUCAAUUAAAAUCAC